AGACAACUUACCCUUGGGACCGGGAUAACCCUUGGGAAACUAGGGCUAAUACCGGAUAGUGCAUCGAUUGCUGGAAUGCACGAUGUACGAAAGCUGAGGCGCCCAAGGAUAGGUCUGUGGCCGAUUAGGUUGUUGUUGAUGUAACGGAUCAACAAGCCUACGAUCGGUACGGGUUGUGAGAGCAAUAGCCCGGAGAUGGGUUCUGAGAGAAGAACCCAGGUCCUACGGGACGCAUCAGGCGCGAAAACUUUACAAUGUGCGAAAGCACGAUAAGGGAACUCUGAGUGCCUCCUAAGGAGGCUGUUCAGAUGUUUAAAAAGCAUCUGGAGGAAGGGCUGGGCAAGACCGGUGCCAGCCGCCGCGGUAACACCGGCAGCCCAAGUGGUGGUCACGCUUACUGGGUCUAAAGCGUCCGUAGCCGGCUAGGUAAGUUCCUUGGGAAAUUUAAUCGCUUAACGAUUAAGCUACCUGGGAAUACUAUCUGGCUUGGGACCGGGAGAGGUCAGAGGUACCUCAAGGGUAGGGGUGAAAUCCGUUAAUCCUUGGGGGACCACCGGUAGCGAAGGCGUCUGACCAGACCGGAUCCGACGGUGAGGGACGAARGCUAGGGGAGCGAAGCGGAUUAGAUACCCGCGUAGUCCUAGCUGUAAACGAUGCGGGCUAGGUGUUGGUAUUACUGCNAGUGAUGCCAGUGCCGAMGGGAAGCCGUUAAGCCCGCCAUCUGGGGAGUACGGCCGCAAGGCUGAAACUUAA
rnacentral:rRNA from 1 species